rnacentral:tRNA from 1 species
UCCUCUGUAGUAUAGUUGGUUAGUACAUAAGUCUCAUAAUCUUACGACCCGAGUUCGAAUCUCGUCGGAGGAA